GGCGGCGUAGCUCAGGGGCUAGAGCAGGGGAUUCAUAAGCCCAAGGUCGGUGGUUCAAAUCCACCCGCCGCCACCA
rnacentral:tRNA from 1 species